GGUCCAGGACUUUGAUUCUGGCUCAGGAUGAACGCUGGCGGCGUGCCUAAUACAUGCAAGUCGAACGCACAGCGAAAGGUGCUUGCACCUUUCAAGUGAGUGGCGAACGGGUGAGUAACACGUGGACAACCUGCCUCAAGGCUGGGGAUAACAUUUGGAAACAGAAUGCUAAUACCGAAUAAAACUUAGUGUCGCAUGACACCAAAGUUAAAAGGCGCUUCGGCGUCACCUAGAGAUGGAUCCGCGGUGCAUUAGUUAGUUGGUGGGGUAAAGGCCUACCAAGACAAUGAUGCAUAGCCGAGUUGAGAGACUGAUCGGCCACAUUGGGACUGAGACACGGCCCAAACUCCUACGGGAGGCUGCAGUAGGGAAUCUUCCACAAUGGGCGAAAGCCUGAUGGAGCAACGCCGCGUGUGUGAUGAAGGCUUUCGGGUCGUAAAGCACUGUUGUAUGGGAAGAACAGCUAGAAUAGGAAAUGAUUUUAGUUUGACGGUACCAUACCAGAAAGGGACGGCUAAAUACGUGCCAGCAGCCGCGGUAAUACGUAUGUCCCGAGCGUUAUCCGGAUUUAUUGGGCGUAAAGCGAGCGCAGACGGUUUAUUAAGUCUGAUGUGAAAGCCCGGAGCUCAACUCCGGAAUGGCAUUGGAAACUGGUUAACUUGAGUGCAGUAGAGGUAAGUGGAACUCCAUUGUGUAGCGGUGGCAUGCGUAAGAUUAUAUGGAAGAAACACAAGUGGCGAAGGCGCCUUACUGGACUGCAACUGACGUUGAGGCUCGAAAGUGUGGGUAGCAAACAGGAUUAGAUACCCUGGUAGUCCACACCGUAAACGAUGAACACUAGGUGUUAGGAGGUUUCCGCCUCUUAGUGCCGAAGCUAACGCAUUAAGUGUUCCGCCUGGGGAGUACGACCGCAAGGUUGCAACUCAAAGGAAUUGACGG
rnacentral:rRNA from 1 species